AAAAAAAAAAAAAAAGAGAGAUACCGUGUUUGACUCUAACUAGAGAGUCAACUGCCCUAGGCUACAGGGAGCCUGAAAAAACCAGGGCAACGUAUUUUCAGAGACUAAUAGUGUAAUUUCCCACUGAACUUUGCUCUGGGGUGUCAGGGAAUUUUUAGAAUAUGUUGUUCCCAGGAAGGGUGGGAGCAACUUGCAUUUCUAAAUCAACCCUGGAGAUAUGCCAGCUUGUUUGAAUAAUAUCUAUUUCAGAAAAAUGUGUCUAGCUUCCCAAUCAAAGAACUGUCCCUUUCACCUCUGCACCCCACCAAGGACUGGACCACCUCCUCAAAGAGCAGACGUGUCUUUAGAACAGACUGUAGGCUUGGAGCCUUGUAAAAUGUACAUGGAGGUUUCACAAUCAAGCACACGGAAUCCAGUUGAAGGCAGCUAAACUUUGUGUUGAUUUGAUUAGUGUGAUCUCAGCUCAAGGCAAAGGUGGGAUAUCAUGGCAUCUAUCUGGGUUGGACACCGAGGAACAAUAAGAGAUUAUCCAGACUUUAGCCCAUCAGUGGAUGCUGAAGCUAUUCAGAAAGCAAUCAGAGGAAUUGCAUUUCUCUAGAAUAUGACAAGAACUGGAAUUUCCACAUUGACGGGGAUACUUCUCUUCAAAUUAACUGGAAAUUUUGCCAUACUAUUCUCUGAAAUGAAUGUAGAAAUUAGCAUUCCUUUCAGCAAUGUACAAGACUUCUUUUUGCUCCAUGUUCUCACCAAUACUUGCUACAGUAAGACUAUUCCAUUUUUCUAAUUAAGUGGGUCUAAAUGGUAUCUUAUUCUGCAUGUGUGUUUGUUUCCUCUCUCUACCCUGAUGACUGAUGCAGUUAAGCAUCCUCACUUGUGCAUCUGCUUCCACUUUCAUACAUCAAUAAAAUAUAAAAUAUAUUUUAUCUAUUUUUUUCAGUUGGUUUGUCUUCUUUAGAUUGGCAAGAAUUUUUUAUAAUUCCUCAAUACAAACUUUUAAAAAAAUAUUACAAACCAUGAAAAUAUUUCCUAUAAGUUCAUGGUUUUCUUUUAACAUUGGUGACAUGGUUUGGUCCUGUGUCCCCACCCAAAUCUCAUCUUGUAGCUCCCAUAAUUCCCACAUAUUGUGGGAGGGACCUGGUGGGAGAUGAUUGAAUCAUGGGGACAGGUCUUUUCCGUACUGUUCACAUGAUAGUGAAUAAGUGUUACAAGAUCUGAUGGCUUUAUAAGGUGGAGUUUCUCUGCAUAAGCUCUCUCCUUGCCUGCCGCCAUCCACAUAAGAUGUGACUUGCUCCUCCUUCCCUUCCACCAUGAUUGUGAGGCUUCCCCAGACACAUGGAACUGUGAGUUCUCCAUUAAACCUCUUUCCUUCAUA